GCGGUCCACAAUCAUUUAACACGGAUGUUGUUCAACAUAGUAGAACAACUAUUAAUGUACAAUGAUAGUUAGAACUUGCACUACUACUGAAAUCACAAUUGUAUUGUACUGGAUUAACUGGCAUGUAGUUGGUUCUCAGUAUCUUUACUGGAUUAGCUAGCAUGAAACCUCCGGGAUCAUUGUGUGUUUUUUAUACAAUGCUAAUAACUCCAUCAACUUGUUUUCAUCUGCCAUAGUUUUGUGUUCUUCACCAAUAUUAAGGCCUUUUUAAUGAGUUCAAAACUUCUAGUUCAAUGAUGUGCUGAAAUUAGGGUAUCUCUUCAUGCUGAGAACAUCACAUCAGUAAACAGAUAGGUCUUGCUCUCUUUAUAAACUAGAAUUAUACCCGCGUCUUGGCGCGGUGUAUACAUUUUGGAUACGGGUGAAUUAUCGAGAAUUUAAUCAAAAAUAAAGAAUUCUUAUUUUCUUAGGAUUGUUUUCUCUUGUUUGGAUACUUAUCUCGUGGAAUUAGCAAUUUUCACGGGAAAAUAAUCGUGGAAUUUAGGAGUUUAAAUUCUCGACUUAAAUUUUUCACAAAAUAAGUGUCAUUUGUUAAUUCCCGUAAUUAAGGUUAGUAUGAAUACAAAUUCUUGUACAAACAAAAAAAUUCUCAAUUAAUGGGAUUUAAAUUCAUAGAAUUGUAAUUCUCAUGAUUUUGAAAUUUCUAUGAACAUUAAAAUUAUUUUAUCUAAAAACAACGUUAUGAAGCUGGUCAAUGGGUUAAUUGAUUGAUGAAAAUGUUUCUGAUAUGUAUUUUAUAGAAUGUUAUACAUGUAAAUUAUACUUGUUUGUUAUACUGAUUAUAUAUUUAGGGUUAAUGACAAUAAUGUGGUUUUCUAAAAAUAACAGGGGCAAAAUGGUAAUUACACUGUUCAUAAACACUGUUCACAGUCGACCAAACUUUGUUAUAUAGGUAAAUAUAUAGGAAUGAGAUGAUGUAAAAAUGUCUGAUUUAGUGUGGUAAUACUGUCCUCCGAGUAUGCUGACAACUCAUGUGCAGGCGAAUGCACAUCAGGUGUGGAAGAUGUCCAAGUGGAAGGUAAAUGGAAGGCAGUCACAUGAUGAUGUAAUAGAUUUCCUCAGAGGGGCUCCUGUUCCUGUCCAACAGGAUGCAUGAUUACUCCUCUCACUGUGGUGACAUUGUGCAUGAAUUUGUUGUUUCAUGA